UACAGAGGGGGCAAGCGUUGUUCGGAAUUACUGGGCGUAAAGGGCGCGUAGGCGGCCCUCUAAGUCGAACGUGAAAUCCCCGGGCUCAACCCGGGAACUGCGUCCGAUACUGGAAGGCUUGAAUCCGGGAGAGGGAUGCGGAAUUCCAGGUGUAGCGGUGAAAUGCGUAGAUAUCUGGAGGAACACCGGUGGCGAAGGCGGCAUCCUGGACCGGCAUUGACGCUGAGGCGCGAAAGCUGGGGGAGCGAACGGG
rnacentral:rRNA from 1 species